AGUGAUAUUAGCAAUAAUAAUAUUGGAAGCGGUAGCCAAAUACCUUAUAACCUUCCUCCAAACCUCCAGAUUCUGAAUUUUGGUAGCAAUCAAUUCUCAGGGAUCGUACCUUAUUCAAUCUCCAAGAUGGUGGCACUCAAAAAUCUAAAUCUUGCACAUAACCAACUACAGGGAAAUCU